rnacentral:rRNA from 1 species
GCCGCGGUGAAUACGUUCCCGGGCCUUGUACACACCGCCCGUCACACCACGAGAGUUUGUAACACCCGAAGUCGGUGAGGUAACCUUUUAGGAGCCAGCCGCCUAAGGUGGGAUAGAUGAUUGGGGUGAAGUCGUAACAAGGUAGCCGUAUCGGAAGGUGCGGCUGGAUCACCUCCUUUCUAAGGA